UUGGAAACGACUGCUAAGACUGGAUAGGAGACAAGAAGGCAUCUUCUUGUUUUUAAAAGACCUAGCAAUAGGUAUGCUUAGGGAGGAGCUUGCGUCACAUUAGUUAGUUGGUGGGGUAAAGGCCUACCAAGACUAUGAUGUGUAGCCGGGCUGAGAGGUUGAACGGCCACAUUGGGACUGAGACACGGCCCAAACUCCUACGGGAGGCAGCAGUAGGGAAUUUUCGGCAAUGGAGGAAACUCUGACCGAGCAACGCCGCGUGAACGAUGAAGUAUUUCGGUACGUAAAGUUCUUUUAUUAGGGAAGAAUAAAUGAUGGAAAAAUCAUUCUGACGGUACCUAAUGAAUAAGCCCCGGCUAACUAUGUGCCAGCAGCCGCGGUAAUACAUAGGGGGCAAGCGUUAUCCGGAAAUAUUGGGCGUAAAGGGUGCGUAGGCGGUUAAAUAAGUUUAUGGUCUAAGUGCAAUGCUCAACAUUGUGAUGCUAUAAAAACUGUUUAGCUAGAGUAAGAUAGAGGCAAGUGGAAUUCCAUGUGUAGUGGUAAAAUGCGUAAAUAUAUGGAGGAACACCAGUAGCGAAGGCGGCUUGCUGGGUCUUUACUGACGCUGAGGCACGAAAGCGUGGGGAGCAAACAGGAUUAGAUACCCUGGUAGUCCACGCCGUAAACGAUGAGUACUAAACGUUGGGUAAAACCAGUGUUGAAGUUAACACAUUAAGUACUCCGCCUGAGUAGUACGUACGCAAGUAUGAAACUUAAAGGAAUUGACGGGACUCCGCACAAGCGGUGGAUCAUGUUGUUUAAUUCGAAGGUACCCGAAAAACCUCACCAGGUCUUGACAUGCUUCUGCAAAGCUGUAAAAACACAGUGGAGGUUAUCAGUUGCACAGGUGGUGCAUGGUUGUCGUCAGCUCGUGUCGUGAGAUGUUGGGUUAAGUCCCGCAACGAGCGCAACCCUUAUUGUUAGUUACCAGCACGUAAUGGUGGGGACUUUAGCAAGACUGCCAGUGAUAAAUUGGAGGAAGGUGGGGACGACGUCAAAUCAUCAUGCCCCUUAUGACCUGGGCUACAAACGUGAUACAAUGGCUGUUACAAAGGGUAGCUGAAGCGCAAGUUUUUGGCGAAUCUCAAAAAAACAGUCUCAGUUCGGAUUGAAGUCUGCAACUCGACUUCAUGAAGUUGGAAUCGCUAGUAAUCGCGAAUCAGCAUGUCGCGGUGAAUACGUUCUCGGGGUUUGUACACACCG
rnacentral:rRNA from 1 species